rnacentral:rRNA from 1 species
AGUUUUUAACUCAAGUGGCGGACGGGUGAGUAACACGUAAGAAUUUGCCUUAGGAGGGGGACAACAACUGGAAACGGUUGCUAAUACCCCAUAUGCUUUCGAGUGAAAUGGAUUUUUCCGCCUAGAGAGAAGCUUGCGGCUGAUUAGCUUGUUGGUAAGGUAAUGGCUUACCAAGGCGACGAUCAGUAUCUGGUUUGAGAGGACGAUCAGACACACUGGAACUGAGACACGGUCCAG